rnacentral:lncRNA from 1 species
UUUCAGGACAUAGUCAAUGUUCAAGAAAGGACAAGAGCCACCGUCGCAAGAAUAACAAAAUGUUCUUGCUGUGGAUUUCUUUCUACUGUGAUUGCUGAAAUCAAGGUGUUAGAUGUAAGCCUCCUUCCUGUUCUGGAAAGUGACUAAUUCUGUGAAGAAUGCCCAGGAAGGAAGAAAAGAUUCUUCGGGGAUAUUACAACAAAUCCAUGGUAUUUCGAUGCUAACACCCUUGAGACAAUGAGAGACAAAAGCAGAACAAAUGCAUGGCCUAACAUGACCUGUUCCAGCAAAGGAGAGGGAGGAAGUCUGAGAGAACUAACUGGGUGUCAAGUGUUAAACAAAUAAUAGUAUUGGAACACACAUUUGGCUAAGCUGGAAGUUUUCACCACAGAAGAUCAAUUCAGAAGCUAUAGGUGAUAUCGUCUACCUAUCCUUUCCAGGCAGUCUCUACAGGAAUUCCCAGGCGUAAUGUGAAUGCCCAAAGUCCACAAAGGAACAGAAUUAAGACCAAGAUUGACAAGAUGUUCUCUGGUAUAAAUACAGCUGAAGCAUUGGGUGGAAGUUCAAAUCUGCACGGAAGCAAGUAGAAUUCGGAUACGUCACAUCAGACAACCCCAGAGAACUCAGCUCCCCCAUAGACCUGAAUUAUUUGUAUACAGAUAAAAGAAGAUGCAAUCUGUCUUCCCUGCAUCAGAAAAAUCUACCUGCCUGUGGGUGGCUGCAGCCCCAAGGCUGAGAGCAUCUCCUUACCACAUCAGCAGCAGUUAAGCAGCAGCAGUAGACUGGUCAGCUGUGUGGCUUCCCAGGAUGGGCAAGCAAGAAAUCAUCCUGGUAACGGAACUUCUCUGGUCCACAUGCAAUAAAAAUGUCAUCGUCACCAAAAAAGUCCUGAAGGCACAUCACCUACAAGAGAAAAGCAUAGUUCUCAGCCAGGGGUCCACACAACAGCGAUCACAACCCCCCCCCCCCCCCCCCCAGACUUCUCCAUAAAGCCAUUUUCCUCUAAUGGAAUCAACAGGGGGAUUUCAAAGGCUCGGCUGUGCAUCUGUUAUCCAGUAAGGAACGAGUUAGUCUCAGGUCUGCAGGAAGGCAGAGAAGGCGACUGGGUGGGUAACUGUCACAUUUAUGACUGGAAACAUCAACAGGCUAUGAGGUAAGAGCUCUUUGUUUCCAUAACAUUGGGCAUUCAGCUACUCGGACCCCGGAGUGCCACCCCCUCCCCCCAGCUUCUGAAUGUAAGUCCCAAAAGCAAGGAGAGCCAGUGCACGGAUUUAACUGAGGACAUGCUUCUGUUGGUAAUUAACAGCACUACGUGUUCACAACAACCACUGAGAAAAAAACAGCAUAGUAUUAUAACUUGUAGGCCCAGUCCAUCUCUAGUUGAAAUAAACUGAAACCCUUAUAAGAGGAAGAGCCG